AUUCAUUUAUCACGUGACUAUUACGCGUCGCUUUACGUGCGCGACUCUCGAAAGUCCAACAAACAUCAAUUACUUUCCCUGGAUUAUUAAAGCUUGAUGGGUUUCGAAUCGACAAGACAGACACAACCGUCGACCACGGCUGAUUUGCUUCCACAGAAACGUCGCACUGCCAUCCCCUUACUCUCAACCGACGGCGGAUUUGCGCGACGGAAUAUCGGAUGAUAAAUUGCGCAACGAGGAUUCUAUGGGCAUGACCAUACAAAAUGGCUGUGCUAGCACUUCGCGCGAUGACAGAAAACUCCUUUCGCAUAAAAAUUAAAAGUUCACGACAGUUUUCUUAAUUCUCACUCGACCGACCCUUCGGUCUUCUUUGAUCUUCCUUUGGAACCGGAUACAUUCAUUAAGUGUGGCUCUUUUCAAAAGUAACCGAGCCGGACUACAAGCAAGUCCAUUCAUACAGAUAACCAGCACUGCGUCCCCGAGCUAGCACUUGCAUUGUAUGUGAACUCAUUCAGAGUACCGAUAAUCGUAGAGUGAAUCGUCGAGCUCGAAUGGACGCUGCUUGGCUAUGCCGUGAUAAGAACAUUCACUUUAUAUUAUCCCUGCUCUUCCACAAAGAAAUCGAGCGAGGCGUCACGUAGUUAUUUUAAGUGACAGUCAUUGUCAUUGCGAAGUUAAUUUUUAUAUACAUCAACUUCAGAUAGUGCCAAUAAUGUUAUUGACCUUUCGUUGAUCUAAUUUAAUACAGCGAAUUCACAGUGGCUGACUUGACACUUUUAUAUGACUACGAUACAACCUGUUUUCACAAUG